rnacentral:tRNA from 1 species
AGUUAUAUUAGCUCAAUUGGUAGAGCAUUCGUUUUGUAAUCGAAAGGUUUGGGGUUCAAAUCCCUAAUAUAACAACA